rnacentral:rRNA from 1 species
UACGUAGGGUGCGAGCGUUAAUCGGAAUUACUGGGCGUAAAGCGUGCGCAGGCGGUUUUGUAAGUCAGAUGUGAAAUCCCCGAGCUCAACUUGGGAACUGCGUUUGAAACUACAAGACUAGAAUAUGUCAGAGGGGGGUAGAAUCCACGUGUAGCAGUGAAAUGCGUAGAGAUGUGGAGGAAUACCAAUGGCGAAGGCAGCCCCCUGGGAUAAUAUUGACGCUCAUGCACGAAAGCGUGGGGAGCAAACAGG